rnacentral:ncRNA from 1 species
AGAAUGUUUGAUUAUAGCUUUGGGUUUAGUUGCAAAAUAUAUUACAUUGGUAUUAUAAUGAGACGUGUUAUUUUGACGACACCAGUAAAAAUAUUUAAAUUAAGUAAGAAAUUAUGUUUUAGUGUUUUGCAUGAGUAUGUGACUAAUAUGAAUGCCAGCAGUCGCGGUUAGAUUCAAUUCAUACUAAAAUUUUAACAGAUUUAUUAGUAAUUGUUCAAUUAAAAGUACCUAUUAUUUAAUCUUAAAGGUGUAAUUUAAUUUUUUGUGUGUUUAUUCUAUUUGGUUUUUGUGAGUGAACUAAUGAAAUUAUGGUGAAAAACUAGGAUUAGAUACCCUAUUAUUCAUAAAGUAAAAAUUAAUUUUCUGCUUUACUGUACAUUUGGUUGUUAAAGGGAAAUGAAUAGGCGGUGUCUGAGUUAAAAAACAGGGGAACCUGAGCAUUAAAGGACGAUCCACCUAGAUUGUUCCACGUCUUAUUGCGUGUGUAUGGUUGUUUACUUUCAAAUUAAGUUUAGAGGUAAAACGUUGAAGUCGACAAAAAUUCAGAUUAACAUGCAGCUAUGAUUUGGCGCGUUUGGGUUACAGUUGUUAUAACCAUUUUAAAAUAAUAUUUUAUACAUCAAAUGUUUAUAUGAAUACAUAAAAACUGAAGAAGGACUUGUAAGUAAUAGUAAUUUAUGUAAUUAUUAUGAAUACUAUCAGAUGAGUACUAAUUGCCCGUCGCUCGCAAAGAAAUUUGUGAUAAGUCGUAACAAGGUAGGGGUACGGGAACGUGUCGCUAAAUUAUU